GAUGAACGCUGGCGGCGUGCCUAACACAUGCAAGUCGAGCGAGAUAAAUGUGAGUGGAGACUUCGGUCAAAGCAAUCAUUUUGAAAGCGGCGGACGGGUGAGUAACGCGUGAGCAAUCUGCCCCAUACAAAGGGAUACCCACUGGAAACGGUGAUUAAUACCUUAUAAGACCACGAAGUCGCCUGGCUUAGUGGCCAAAGAUUUAUCGGUAUGGGAUGAGCUCGCGUCUGAUUAGCUAGUUGGUGAGGUAAUGGCUCACCAAGGCGACGAUCAGUAGCCGACCUGAGAGGGUGAACGGCCACACUGGAACUGAGACACGGUCCAGACUCCUACGGGAGGCAGCAGUGGGGAAUAUUGCACAAUGGGCGCAAGCCUGAUGCAGCAACGCCGCGUGAAUGAUGAAGGCCUUCGGGUCGUAAAGUUCUGUCCUAAGGGAAGAAUACAGUGACGGUACCUUAGGAGGAAGCCCCGGCUAACUACGUGCCAGCCGCCGCCGUAA
rnacentral:rRNA from 1 species